rnacentral:rRNA from 1 species
GACGAACGCUGGCGGCGUGCUUAACACAUGCAAGUCGAACGGAAAGGCCCUGCUUUUGUGGGGUGCUCGAGUGGCGAACGGGUGAGUAACACGUGAGUAACCUGCCCUUGACUUUGGGAUAACUUCAGGAAACUGGGGCUAAUACCGGAUAGGAGCUCCUGCUGCAUGGUGGGGGAUGGAAAGUUUCGGCGGUUGGGGAUGGACUCGCGGCUUAUCAGCUUGUUGGUGGGGUAGGGGCUUACCAAGGCUUUGACGGGUAGCCGGCCUGAGAGGGUGACCGGCCACAUUGGGACUGAGAUACGGCCCAGACUCCUACGGGAGGCAGCAGUGGAGAAUAUUGCACAAUGGGCGGAAGCCUGAUGCAGCAACGCCGCGUGCGGGAUGACGGCCUUCGGGUUGUAAACCGCUUUCGCCUGUGACGAAGCGUGAGUGACGGUAAUGGGUAAAGAAGCACCGGCUAACUACGUG